AUUGAACGCUGGCGGCAUGCUUUACACAUGCAAGUCGAACGGUAACAGGCCUUCGGGUGCUGACGAGUGGCGAACGGGUGAGUAAUGCAUCGGAACGUGCCCAGAGGUGGGGGAUAACGCAGCGAAAGCUGUGCUAAUACCGCAUGUGAUCUGAGGAUGAAAGCGGGGGACCAAGCAGCAAUGUUUGGCCUCGCGCCUCCGGAGCGGCCGAUGUCAGAUUAGGUAGUUGGUGGGGUAAAGGCCUACCAAGCCGACGAUCUGUAGCUGGUCUGAGAGGACGACCAGCCACACUGGGACUGAGACACGGCCCAGACUCCUACGGGAGGCAGCAGUGGGGAAUUUUGGACAAUGGGCGCAAGCCUGAUCCAGCAAUGCCGCGUGCGGGAAGAAGGCCUUCGGGUUGUAAACCGCUUUUGUACGGAACGAAAAGGCUCUGGCUAAUACCUGGGGCUGAUGACGGUACCGUAAGAAUAAGCACCGGCUAACUACGUG
rnacentral:rRNA from 1 species